CGAGAGUUAGUGAGAGUUAACGCGAGUUGGGCCAAGCUAUUGGGCUUGAGGCCCAAUGGGCCUUGUCUCAUGAGUGGGGGGCGCUACUUAUGGCCUUGAUAGAGAGAGAAACUCAUUUUCUCAACAUUUGUGAAGGAUGAAGAGAGAAGGGAGAGCUCAAGAGCUAGGGCAAGGGGAAAGUGAAGAGAUCAAGAGCAAAUCUUCGAGUUUUCUUCGAAUCCAGAUUGACAGGUUU